GUUUACGAAUUGUGGAAAGUUUGUGUCUUAUUUUAGCUACUUUGGGGCCAAGAAACACGUCAUUUGCACUUAAUUACUAUGGGUUUCUUCCAUUUGGCUUUAAAAACUGGCGAGUGUUCUCCGAGAUUGGACCGAGCUGUUUGAAUUAGUUGUCGAGGAGUGGUGGAUGUCAUUUUGUCACGAAUUUUCUCAAGAGACAGCUUCAAGCAUAAGGUUAUAACAACAGAAAAGCAGUGAAUUCAAGAAAAAAAAAACGAAGGACUUCAUCCUUUUUCACUUAUACAUGACACAUUGAUAUGAUGAAAGCAAAAACAGGUUGAUGACUCCAACUAAGACUGACAGGUGACGAAUCAAACAAGCAAGUCUACGAUUCAAAAGGAAGAUGAUUUACUUAGUGGUACCAGACAGAUUUAGCGCAUCUCACUCAAGAGAGAGCUACCACUGAUUUUUGCCAAAA